UACGAAGGGGGCUAGCGUUGCUCGGAAUGACUGGGCGUAAAGGGCGCGUAGGCGGUGGACACAGUCAGGCGUGAAAUUCCUGGGCUCAACCUGGGGGCUGCGUUUGAUACGUGUUUGCUAGAGUGGGGAAGAGGGUCGUGGAAUUCCCAGUGUAGAGGUGAAAUUCGUAGAUAUUGGGAAGAACACCGGGUGGCGAAGGCGGCGACCUGGUCCUUGACUGACGCUGGAGGCGCGAAAGCGUGGGGAGCAAACAGG
rnacentral:rRNA from 1 species